GAGACCUUCCUAGCCCGUAUAGUUCUGCGUUCGUGUGAUCGUCGUGCCGAGUUCUGUUUGUGCGGUCGACUUUUAACGCGCUGCCUCGCAUUGUGUGUAUUGUGUGUUGUAUUUCGUGGUUACUGACGUAAGCGCAAGUAUACGCGGUACCAGGCAAAUAGUCACCAGAUGCCGACCGUGCGACUUCAAUCUCUGCGACUGCUUUGUUCGGUGUGACCGACGGACGCGAUUCAUAGUUUUGAAGAACACCUUCAAAUGUUUCCGCACGUCAGUGAGUAGCAGCGCCGCAAUCCUUUGUCGACGACGCGUUCUGUCGCCCUGGAAAAUGCUUUGACGCUCGGGGACGGCCGGUAGCUCGGCGAUUCCUCGCUUGGCGCACCAUUGGAAACCGGCGGUCAUCUAGCAGUGUACGCUGCCAGCGUAUUUUUUAUUGCCAGAGGUAGCAAACAGCAGUGCCUCGACAAACAGUGGAGUGCUGACCAUGCAGUCCAGAAGGUGGCUGAGGCAAGUAUGCUAUAGGAGGUGCUUAUUCAGGCAGAAGAAAUAAGCAUCUGUAGCCAACGUAAAGGUAAUGUACAAAGUUCCAUUUAAUGAAGAAGAAUCUUGUUUUGAGCUAGUCAUGUCGAAGGGAAACAAUGAGCGCUAGAUAAAUGAGAUGGAAAUGCAGAGUAACAAUGUUAUGUAUGCCAGCAACCAACUUAAGUUUAUUCAUGCAAAAGGGUUAUUUCCAACUGGUUCAUUUAGGGGAAGAGCCCACAGUUUCCACGAAUGGGCAUACCUGGUAGCCGUUGCACAACCUGUUACUGUGUUUUCGCACUCAUUAUUAUGUGCCACUUACUCUUGUGACGUUCCACCAAGGUGAAAUUACUUCACAUAAACAGCAGCGAGAAGGCUCUUGCUAGCCAGUUCAAUUAAGACAGCGUUACCGUAGCUUUUAGUUCCAGUAAACCAGCUAAGCUGUAUAGAAGAGCGUACUUCAUGUUUGUCACCAUGGACAGUGCAUUUUGCCUGGGAACAUGGCUUAGUUUUGCAAAGGAAAAUGUUGCCUUUCUGUAAAACGUGGUACUGGGAAAUGGCAUUGUGCCAAAAAUAUUAAGGUUUAUGACUUCUUGCAGCACGCAUUGUUGUACAGGGAUGUUAGCGUUUUCAUAAAUGCAAUGCAUGGUGCUUGAAGAAUAUAGCGGCCCACUUUAAAAUUUAUAACUUCAUGAUUUCAGUAUCUGGGACAGACUUUACUGUAUACGAUUUGUUUCUGGAAAGCUUCAACCUAUCUUGCAAUUCUUCAAGGCCAAUACUGAAUUUGCUGUGUACAUUUGGCUGCACAUUCUCAUCACUUAUGCUAAACAACAGGCUUGAGUGAUGUGUGGAAUUCCUGUCAAUCAAUUUUAUUGAUUACCUCGGACGAUCUACUCUGCUUCCCACAGUUAUUGGGUGCUUUGUGUGCAUGUGCUAUGCAUGCUAGAAAUGAAAACAGGGAAUGCAGCUGGCAGCAUCAACGAGUACAAUGCCCAUAGGCUAUUAUGAGGUGCGAAAUGUUGCCACUGCUAGAAUUUACAUUAUGUGUGCAUGGUACAGCUGAUUGUGUAAUUUAGCACUUUCCAGCUACUUACGCAGUUGGAGCAGAUGUCGAUCAUGUUUAUUGUGGUAUGGCACGGCCACCAAGUUCGUGCAUUCUGCAUACCAGGAAACCUGACACGAAGCAACGUAUUGCUGUGAUGGCAGCUAAGUGAGAACGAAUGAGUUUGUCUUCUCUGUACAUUUGUCAAUAUCAUUACACAGGCUUGUUAAGUGCAUUCAAGCGGCUUUAGCAAUGCACUUGCAGCUACAGAGCCAGUAAAGGCAGCCAAUUUCAUCAUCAGAGUUCACUCUGCAAAUCCCACUUUCCAUAAAGGGCAUUGUUUUGUGAUAGCUUAAGGUCAAAACUUGCUCAAUUAAACACUUCUUGGUGUCUGACAUUACAUGAAUUAUGAUAAUUGUUAUAUCUCAUGUGAAAUUAUGCCAUUGUUUUUUUUUCAUAUUCUUACUUUGCAUACACACUUUACGACUGCACCCUCCCCAACCGAAUCUUUACUAGUGCUACAUUCUGUUAUGGGUGAAAACAAUUAUUGAACUAAAAACCAGGCCAAGGAAAGCAGUAUGAUGCCCUGUAAUGUAGGAGGAUGCCGCUAUUGCAGUGUUUAGUCUAGAGCUGAAUUUAAUGAGAAAGGGCAGCAAUGUAGGUCAUCUGUGGAUAUUUGCAGACCAUAAUUGUGUUGUGGUCAUUUUGUUAUCGCAGGAAGCAUCUUCAAAAAGCAGUGCUACAAGGAUGUGAGCAGCAGUUUCCCUUCAACGAACGGGUCAAAUUCAUGGAAGCCACGUGCCUGCUGCUUCUGGCCUACACAAACAUGCAGCCACCAUAGUAAAGUUCUUGCAAAGACAUUCUACACGAACUUGCCCAAAGGCGGAAGGAAGGCACGCACAGAUGGACGCACAGAAAUCAUGGGGCUGCCGUAGAAGCUGUGAAUGAGCAUUAACCUACGUACAGAAAGGAGCGAAGUGGAGCUGUCCAUGGGCCGUGCACACAGUUUCAUAAGCAGGCUUGCAACACUUUUGACAAAUAUGUUCCUGAAUACAUCUGCCAAAGUGGCAUUUAAAGAAGCAUGUAGUAGUGUACUUCACUGUUUAUUUGGCAUGAAGCAGCAGGUAUGCUUCCGUCAUCAGCAAGUUCACACAGUACAGUGCAUCUACACAUGGCAUGCUACCCCCACAUCUACCAGCUCGGGAUGUGUAGCUUGAUUGUAAAAUGUUUACUUUGACUUAACACAACAAUUAUUAACAAAAUGACAUGAAAGUUUUGCCACCUAUGCAGGCGACAUUCUCAGUAUACGCUGCCAAAUAUAAGCGGAGUUUGACCAGUCCAUUAGUCGCACAUUUCCUUGUAAACAUCUCGUAGAGGGCUGCUGUUGUUGUUGCAAGCCAAUGCGCCGUGAUGAAUGAACCAUGAUUCCAAGAUUUUUCUUUUCCUCCGACCUUUGUACACGAGGUAGCAUCGUCGAAUUGAUUAGGUCAAAGUUAUGCCUUGUCAUUCAGCAGCGUUCAACAAGCUCCGUCUUAGAACAUGUUGCAUGGGUGGUUUUCGCAACAUCCUCUUUGUGUUCUUUAACCUUCGAUUACCUUCUUCAACCCAUUUCGCCUAUGCAAGUUGUGUCGCAAUCCCCACAUUGUACUUCGUAGAUGAUCCCGCUCUAAUCUUCGGCGGUGUUUGUGUAUACCUUGUCCUUAGGACAUGUGUUCACAAAGCCCAAAGACCGCACACCUGCGGAUGAUUAGAGCAGGGUAUUCUACAGAGUACGUUGUGGGGUUCAUGACACCACUUACAUCGGCGAAUUGGGCAGGAAAAUGCCAAAGACGUUCAAAGAACACAAAGUGGGAAUGUUGCUAAAGCCACCCAUGGAGCGCAUUUUAAGACAGCUUGUUGAAUACUGCAAGACGACAGGUUAUAGCUUCGACCUUAACAAUGCGACGAUGCUGGCUCAGGAACGAAGGUGGAGGAAAACUAUUGGAAUUAUGGUUCAUGCGUCAUGAAGCAUCUGCUUGAAACAACAACCACAGACCCAUACCGAACGUGUACGUGGACGUAUGUGGCUAGUGGACUGGUCGACCUCCGCUCACUUGUUGCCAGCGUAUACCGAGACUGCCACCUGCAUAGGUGGCAAAGCUUCUAUGGGAUUUUAUGGUGCAGUUGUGGUACAAAACAGUUAUUUUGCAUUAAGGCAAAUGUGCCGUAUUAUAUUGGACAGUACGGGCAGACCAGUCUUUAGUAUCUUAACGUAGGAGGCACGUAAGAAGACCUUCUUUGAAGGAAAUUGUUUUAUUCUGGUCACGGAACAGUGCUCUCAUUCAAACAAAGCGACGGAGUGCUUUGUUUUAUCUGUGGUAACGAAA